UACGUAAGGACCGAGCGUUGUCCGGAAUCAUUGGGCGUAAAGGGUACGUAGGCGGGUCAUUAAGUUAGAAGUCAAAGGCUAUAGCUCAACUAUAGUAAGCUUCUAAAACUGGAGACCUUGAGUAAUGGAAGGGAAAGUGGAAUUCCUAGUGUAGCGGUGGAAUGCGCAGAUAUUAGGAGGAAUACCGGUGGCGAAGGCGACUUUCUGGCCAUUAACUGACGCUGAGGUACGAAAGCGUGGGUAGCAAACAGGAUUAGAUACCCGUGUAGUCC
rnacentral:rRNA from 1 species